CCUACGGGUGGCAGCAGUCGAGAAUCAUUCACAAUGGGGGAAACCCUGAUGGUGCGACGCCGCGUGGGGGAAUGAAGGUCUUCGGAUUGUAAACCCCUGUCAUGUGGGAGCAAAUUAAAAAGAUAGUACCACAAGAGGAAGAGACGGCUAACUCUGUGCCAGCAGCCGCGGUAAUACAGAGGUCUCAAGCGUUGUUCGGAAUCACUGGGCGUAAAGCGUGCGUAGGCUGUUUCGUAAGGCGUGUGUGAAAGGCGCGGGCUCAACCCGCGGAGGGCAAAUGAUACUGCGAGACUAGAGUACUGGAGGGGGAACCGGAAUUCUCGGUGUAGCAGUGAAAUGCGUAGAUAUCGAGAGGAACACUCGUGGCGAAGGCGGGUUCCUGGACAUUAACUGACGCUGAGGCACGAAGGCCAGGGGAGCGAAAGGGAUUAGAUACCCUUGUAGUC
rnacentral:rRNA from 1 species